rnacentral:tRNA from 1 species
GGUAGCGUGGCCGAGCGGUCUAAGGCGCUGGUUUAAGGCACCAGUCUCGUUAGAGGCGUGGGUUCGAAUCCCACCGCUGCCA